rnacentral:rRNA from 1 species
AUACGGAGGGGGCAAGCGUUGUUCGGAAUUACUGGGCGUAAAGGGCGCGUAGGCGGAUUGUCAAGUCAGAGGUGAAAGCCCUGGGCUCAACCUGGGAACUGCCUUUGAAACUAACAGUCUAGAGUCCGAGAGAGGAUGGCGGAAUUCCCAGUGUAGAGGUGAAAUUCGUAGAUAUUGGGAAGAACACCAGUGGCGAAGGCGGCCAUCUGGCUCGGUACUGACGCUGAGGCGCGAAAGCGUGGGGAGCAAACAGGAUUAGAAACCCCGGUAGUCC